CAGCUGGCCACGGGGCCUGCACAAGUAUUCAUUUCCCCCAGUGAGCCUUCUCGCACAGACGCUGUGCAAGGUCAGGGAGGACGAGGAGCAAGUCUUGCUUGUGGCACUGUAUUGGCCAACUCGGACCUGGUUCCCCGAACUAAUGCUCCUCACGACAGCUUCCUCUGAGGAAGGAUCUACUGACUCAGAGACGGGGCACCCUAUGGCACCCACGUCCAGAUCUCUGGGAAACUUCAUGUCUGGUUCCUUGACGGCACAUGGAGGUUCUUGGAAACCUACCUCAAGAGGUAGUGGACACCAUCACUUCCGCAAGAGCACCAUCUACCAGACACGCUUAUGCCUUGAAGUGGAACCUGUUCAUCGAGUGGUGUUCUUCUCAUCGAGAAGACCCCCGGAGAUGCCCAAUCAGGGUUGUGCUUUCCUUUUUGCAGCAAGGGCUGGAGCGAAGGUUGUCUCCCUCCACCCUAUGUCUGCAAUCGCUGAUAACCAUGACCCCAUGGAAGGGAAGUUGGUAGGUAGUCAUGAACUGGUCAUCAGGUUCCUUAGAGGGGCCAGGAGGUUAAAUCCUUCCCAGCCCCCCUCCAUACCCUCUUGGGACCUGUCUCUAGUGCUUAAAACACUACAGCAGGGCCUAUUUGAGCCUUUUCACUCAGUCAAGCUAAAGUUUCUUUCAUUGAAAACUCUGCUCCUGCUAGCACUGGCCUCCAUCAAGAGGGUAGGGGACCUGCACACAUUUUCGGUCAAUGAUUCAUGCCUAGAGUUUGGGCCUGCUGACUCCCAGGUAAUCCUGAGGCUCCGGCAUGGCUAUGUGCCCAAAGUUCCCAUGACUCCCUUCAGGAUCAGGUGGGGAACCUGCAAGCGCUGCCACCGGAGGAGGCAGACCCAACCCUAGCUUUGCUAUGUAGACCGAACACAAAGCUCCAGAACCUCAGACCAGCUCUUUGUCUUUUACGGAGGCCGGUAGAAGGGGAAUGCCAUCUCUAUGGAUGCCAUCACCCUGGCUUAUCAGGCAGAUAUUUGUAGAGCUACGGGCUGGCCG
ensembl:lncRNA